AACGAACGUUGGCGGCGUGGAUUAGGCAUGCAAGUCGAACGAAUCCCUGUUGGGUAACUGACAGGGGGAAGUGGCGAAAGGGGCGAGUAAGGCGUGGGUAACCUGCCCGGGGGACGGGGAGUAGCCCUCCUAACGGAGGGGUAAGUACCCGGCGAUCUGGUUGGGAGGCGAUCUUCCGGCCAGCAAAGGAAUCUCGCCCCCGGACGGGGCGUC
rnacentral:rRNA from 1 species